rnacentral:lncRNA from 1 species
GUAUGCCGUGUGGCCGCUACCUCGCAGGCUCUCCCGGUCCCUGCUGGCGCGGCAGUGCCGCGCGGUGGGUGAUGGGAGAGCGCGCCCAUUCCCACGCCGCGCCAAGUGCCACGGGAUCAGGUGGGGCCGCGUGUACAGGCGCGAGACGGUCGGGCCAAAGCUGCCCCUCAUGAUCCCCAGCGGACGGUGCCCGGCGGUCCCUCAGAUCCGGGAAAUCUGCACCCGGCUGUGGCGUAGACCGAGGGGCCGAUGCUGCUUCAGCCCGCCGUUACUGCCCUGGCGUCAGCCAGACACUGGGGUGCUGCUGGGCGUCGAGAGGGCUGCUGCGGGGCCGGGCUAAGCCUGGGGGGCUGCAGGUGUCGGGGUGGAUGUGGGCAUAGCGGGGCUGCUGGGCCUCGUGAGCGCCCUGGAACGGCGUGCCCGCGGAGUGCCUCUCAUCACUCAUUGCCAGUGCGGGGAACCUUGUUAGGGCCCGGUUCGACGUAGCUGCAGGCUGGGCGCCAGAGGCAGGGGGCAGGCAGUCCGAGAGGACCCUCUACCUGCAUACCUGGGGGCUGCAGGCAGGGCCUCUGGGCCUCCUUGUUGUGGAUAUAAUUGUGUGCUUCCCGACUCAGGCCGAGGCUGGACCCGGAGACGACAGCGAGGGCAGGCUACCAAGCCCUCCCCACAGGGCCGUGCCCAGCCCAAGCCUGCCGAGUCAGCACCCAGAUCCUGGGACAAGAUAGGUGAGGAUGAAGUGGUGGUGCUCUUCUCACUUGCACAAGCCGUCCCACGCCACCUCUCCUCGGCUUCACGGUGCCUAGAGAAGAGGUGGGAGAGGGUGCAGGCGCCCCAGCUCAGGAUCUGAUGCCUGUGGGCCAAGGACCUGGAUGCAAGCCAGGAGUCCUUGGGGCCACGGGCAGGCAGCCGGAUUCACCGGAAAGUGACGCUUCUCAAGGGGAACACACACGUAACACACCAGCUCCCUUUCUGCCCUGGUCCAGUGACUCCUUUCAUGAAAGCUCUCUGAAAUGUUAUCUGCAUUUACACCCAAACUCACUCACUUUGAUCCCUGAAACGCGAAUCAAAGGUCACAUUGUACCUUCCCUGGGUCUGUGGGGCUUUCAGCAGCCUGGGCCAAAAAUAAUAAAAGUGGCACCGAGCCAGGAAACGCCUCCUUGAAGUGGGAAUGAAAUUUGGAUUUUUUUCGGUUGUAUCUUUCCUAAUUGACCUGAUAAUUUAAACUUCCUCCCUCAAGGGAAAGGUGGGGGUUCCCACAAAUUCAGCUUACCUCAGCCUCAAGGCAGCUCAGUCUACAGCUCAGCGCCCAUCAGCAGAGUGGGCAGUGGGCCUGUGGAAGAAAUGAAUCCAACUGAGCCAGAAAAGGCCUUUUUUGGUCCAAAUUUUUUUUUUCUUUCAGGCCCUCUCCUGUGUAUAACUGUCAUGCACCGCAUAACAACGUUUUGGUCAACUAGGGACCACAUAUGUAACUGGUCAUCCAGUAAGCUAUAGUUAUUUUAUUAUUGAAGAAAGAAAAUUUUUAGGCCAGGCGCUGUGGAGGCUCAUGCUUGUAAUCCCAGCAUUUUGGGAGCCCAAGGCGGGCAGCUCAUUUGAGGUCAGGAGUUUGAGACCAGCCUGGUCAACAUGGUGAAACCCUGUCUCUACCAAAAAUACAAAAAAUUAGCCGGGCGUGGUGGUAUGUGCCUGUAAUCCCAGCUACUUGGGAGGCUGAGGCAGGAGAAUCGCUUGAACCCAGGAGGCGGAGGUUGCAGUGAGCUGAGAUUGUGCUACUGCACUCCAGCCUGGGCAAUAGAGUGAGACUCCAUCUCAAAAAAAAAGGAAAAUGUUUAAUAUAAGUGUGUUGCAGCCUAAGUGUACAGUGUUUAUAAAGUCUAAAGUAGUGUACAAUAAUGUCUUAGGCCUUCACAUUCACUCACCACUCACACCCACAGCAACUUCCAGUCCUGCACCUCUGUUCAUGGCAAGUGCCCUAACCAGUUCUAUUUUUUAUUUUUUGCACUGUACUUUUACUGUACCUUUGCUAUGAUUAGGUGCACUAAUACCACUGUGUCACAAUUGCCUACAUUGUUCAGUAGAGUCACUGUGCAAGUUUGUAGCCCAGGAGCAACAGGCCUUACCAUACAGCCUAGGUGUGUAGUAGGCUCUACCAUCUUAGUUUGUGUAAGUUACUCUAUGAGGAUCCCUCCAUGACAAAAUCGCCUAGUGACACAUUUCUCAGAGUGUAUCCCCACAGUUAAGUGACAUAUGACUGUUUUUUUAUUGUGGUAAAAUAUAGUAACAUUUACCAUUUUAGCCAUUUUUAGGUAUACAGUUCAGGAGCAUUAAGUACAUUCAUGCUGUUGUAUAUCCAGUGAUCACUAUUUAUUUCUAGAACUUUUUCUUCACUCCAGAACAUUAACUCCUCUUCCCCUCCCACUCGCAACCCCUGGUAACCAUCAUUCUAUAUUCUGUCUCUGUGAAUUUAAUUACUCUAGGUACCUCAUAUAAGUGGAAUCAUACAGUAUUUAUCAUUUUGUGACUGGAUUAUUUCACUCAACAUGUUUUCAAGGUUCAUCCACAUCGUAGCAUGUGUCAGAACUUCCUUCAUUUUUAAGGCUGUGUAAUAUUCCUUUGUACACAUUGACCAGAUUUUGUUUAUUCAUUUGUUGAUUGACACUUGGGUUGUUUUCACCUUUUGGCUAUUGUGAAUAAUGCUGCUAUGAACAUUAGUGUACAAGUAUAUGUUUGAGUCCCUGCUUUCAGUACAUAAGAGUGAAAUUGCUGAAUGAUACGGUAAUAUUUUGUUUGACUUUUUGAGAGAUUGCCAAACUUUUCCAUAGCAAGUGAACCAUUUUACAUUCCCACCAACAGUGCACAGGAGUUCCAACUUCUCCACAUCCUCACCAACACUUGGUUACCUUCUCUUUUGUUUUUUUCCAAUAGCCAUCCUAACGGUAUGAAGUGGUGUCCCAUUGUGAUUUUAAUUUGCAUUUCUCUAAUGACUAGUGAGAUUGAGCAUCUUUUCCUGUUAUUGGCCAUUUGUAUAUCUUCACUGGAGAAAUGGCUAUUCAAGUCCUAUGCCCAUUUUUCACUGGAUUUUUGUUUUUAUUGUUGAGUUGUAAGAUUUUUCUAGAUAUUCUGGAUAUUAAUCCCUUGUCAGAUAUAUCAUUUGCAAGUAUUUCUCCAUAGGCUGCCUUUUCACUCUGUUGAUAGUGUCUUUUGAUACACAGAAGUUUUUCAUUUUCAUUAAAAUGUCAUUAACUUAAUUUCACUAAAUUAAUUUCAUUAAUUUCCAAGUCUAAUUUGUCUAUAUGUUGGUGGUAGUGGUGGUGUUAUAUCUAAAUCAUUGCCAAAUCCAGUGCUAUGAAGUUUUGCCCUAUGUUUUCUGCUAAGUUUUAUAGGUUUAGGUCUUUAUAUUUAGGACUUUGACCCAUUUUGAGUUCAUUUUUACAUACGGUGUUAGGUAGGGAUCCAGCUUCAUUCUUUUGCAUUUGAAUAUCCAGAUGUCCCAGCAUGAUUUGUUGAAGACUAUCCUUUCCCUAUCUUAGUACCCUUGUUGAAAAUCAUUUGACCAUAUAUGCAAGGGUUUAUUUCCAGGCUCUCUAGUCUGUUCCAUUGGUCUGUAUGUCUGUCUUUCUUUUUUCAGGAAAGUACAGUGUUCAAACUACACAGUCUUGAUUACUGUGGCUUUGUUUUAAAUUUUGAAAUCAGGAAGUGAGAAGCCUCUAAGUUUGUUCUUUUUCAAGAUGGUUUUGGCUAUUAGGAGUUCCUACAGAUUCCAUAUGAAUUUUAGGAUGGGUUUUAUCUUCCUUUCUUUUUUAUUUUUUUUAUUUUUUUUUUUGAGACAGAAUCUUGCUCUGUCGCCUAGGCUGGAGUGCAGUGGUGCAAUCUCGGCUCACUGCAACCUCUGCCUCCCAGGUUCACGCCAUUCUCCUGCCUCAGCCUCC